AUAUAAUUGCCUGGUUUGUAUUGGACGGAAGAACCUCGCCUGCAACAGUCACUACUAAAAAUUCUUUGAAAGGAAAAAAAUAAAAAAGUGUCGCUGUCUGCUAACCUAACAAUUCGCUUCAGUUACAUCGGCUGACAACUACACUUGAAGGAGCAACAGUUUUGCGUCCAGUCAAAAGAAAAAACAAAAUUAUCCUAUAGUCUUAAAAAUAAUCAGCGUUCGGCGUUAAUUUUCCUACAUACAGUAAGAAAACUAAAAAUCUUACCACCAUGAACGGAUUAUAUUAUGGAAUAUGCCUUUUAUUCGUGAUUGGCAGUGCCAUGGCUGAAUGCGAUCUUCAAAAGGUAAUGGAAUGUCAAAGAUUUACAUUCCGAAGCUGCAAGAUCCCGAAAAUAAAGAGGCUGUGUGCAAAGCAGCUUCAGACUUGAUGAACUGUAUGGGCUCGGCCUCUACUGGUUGCGGUGAAGAAAUGGGAAAACAUUCGACCAAGCUCGUUCACAGAUUGCAGAAUUAGGAUGUCCACAGUCAUCAC